AUUGAACGCUGGCGGCAUGCUUUACACAUGCAAGUCGAACGGCAGCACAGCAGAGGUAACUCUGUGGGUGGCGUGUGGCGAACGGGUGAGUAAUACAUCGGAACGUACCCUGUUGUGGGGGAUAACUACGCGAAAGCGUAGCUAAUACCGCAUACGCCCUGAGGGGGAAAGCGGGGGACCCUAAAUAGAGCGCACUGGGGAGUGCGUUGUAUUUAGGGCCUCGCGCAAUAGGAGCGGCCGAUGUCGGAUUAGCUAGUUGGUGAGGUAAAGGCUUACCAAGGCGACGAUCCGUAGCUGGUCUGAGAGGAUGAUCAGCCACACUGGGACUGAGACACGGCCCAGACUCCUACGGGAGGCAGCAGUGGGGAAUUUGGACAAUGGGGGCAACCCUGAUCCAGCCAUGCCGCGUGAGUGAAGAAGGCCUUCGGGUUGUUAAAGGACU
rnacentral:rRNA from 1 species